GUCCGUGUGGUCUAGAGGUAUGAUUCCUGCUUUGGGAUGAACAACAUCGAAUUUGCAGGAGGCCCCGGGUUCGAAUCCCGGCACGGACC